AAGGAACGUGACAUUGUUGUUUGCGUUCGACUACUGCGCACCUUGCGACGUCACACCAUUGACGUUGCUGAAGCGGUAGCUGCGUCGUAAUUUUCGAACUCGGGGGCCAUCAAAGCACAUGCGCACAAAGUAGCUAUAGCAGUUCAUAAUUCAGCAGAAAUCUGCGUCAGUGCACUUGCAUCGCAAAAGGAGCUGUUCCAACUUUCAGCUGUUCAACCAGAGACCUCUUCAAACUGGUGUACACGGCUUGCUCUGAAGAUGAGUACAGAAGGCACUUUGUGAGCAGCAUACAAGUUACCCUGUCAUUUCCUGUUACCCUGGACUUAUCACUCCACAGCCAACGCCACAUGCUUUGGAGGAAAUGGAACACACAAAAAAGAUGCAGUUGGAAUGGACAGACAGGGUUGAGGCGAUCGAAUGGCUACGAAAGGAGACGAUUGUUAUUUCUAUUAUAAUACUGAAUGUCUGAAGGGUGACCAAUGCCCUUUCCGUCACGGUCAAGCUGCACUCGGUAACAACACUGUCUGUACGUUGUGGCUACAAGGAUCGUACUUUCAAUCAGCAUGUUCGUUCAGACAUAUGCAUAUCACUGUGAAUGGUGACACUUUCGUCUAUUUCUCACAUUCUUGUGAGAAUGUUGAAUGUUUAGCCGUUGAAGAGUGAGUUGUUGUGUUGCUUUGAGCUUCAACCGAGUGGCUGCCUCAAGCCCAACUGUCCUUUCAAGCAUUUCAAGCCGGAAAUGUGAGCACACUGGGAACGAGCUCGAUGCCGGUGAUGUCAACGAUACAGCCAGUUGUUGCUGUCAGACCGUCUGUUCGUGCUUCUACCAACUUGGUUCAAGCACAGGACACGGAGACGCCAAAUUUCCGUGAGAAUCACUCUUGUGUGUUGCUUGGCUAAAUAUCAGUAAGGAGAACUCGUCUCUUGUGUCAAUUGAAGUUGUAAAGGAAGGGAUGACAUCUCUAUCAGCCCAGUCAGACAACAAAGGAACAUUGAUAACAAAGUGUCACCACGAGGUUCUUUUUCUCAUAUCUUCUUCUUCUACCAUUCUAUCAAGCUGGUUGUUCAA